UUGUUGAUUUUUGAUCCCAAUGGAGAUGAGAUUAGAUGCAGAUAUGCAGCUGGUUCAGAGUGUAUUAACUGCACACCGCCGUCUGUCCUCAGUCUUUCAUCAUCUUGUACUCUGUCAUUCAGCCCCACUAAUAGCAGUGCUGAAGGUCCAUAUGCAGUGCAGCUCAUUAUUGAGGACUUUCCCAGACAGACCAUCACUCUGACUAAUAGCAGUGGUUCAGAGGAGGUGAAAAAUACCAGCAAUGCCAUCAGCAAGAUUCCAGUCCAGUUUGUUUUCAGAGUGGAUCCUGCAGUACCAUCCUGCACUGAAGGUCUGUAUCUGCCUACGUUCCUGCCUCCAACACCUGAAAAUGGAGCUCAGAUCUACACCAAUGUUUCUCAGACUGUGGAAAUCAACAUCAAGGUUGCAGCAACCACGGCUAUGUAAGUGAUUGUCACAAAA